ACACAUACUCCUACCUUACAGCCACAACAACAGCCCCAUCUGUCUAUCCCUUGGUCUCUGGCUGCGGUGACACAUCUGGAUCCUCGGUGACACUGGGAUGCCUUGUCAAAGGCUACUUCCCUGAGCCGGUAACCGUAAAAUGGAACUAUGGAGCUCUGUCCAGCGGUGUGCGCACCGUCUCAUCUGUCCUGCAGUCUGGGUUCUACUCCCUCAGCAGCUCGGUGACUGUCCCCUCCAGCACCUGGCCCAGCCAGACUGUCACCUGCAACGUAGCCCACCCAGCCAGCAAGACUGAGUUGAUCAAGAGAAUCGAGCCUAGAAUAUCCAAGCCCAGACCCCCCACAGAUCCAUGCCCAUCUGCUAUCUCCUUGGGUGGACCAUCCGUCUUCAUCUUCCCCCCAAAGCCCAAGGAUGCACUCAUGAUCUCCCUGACCCCCAAGGUUACCUGUGUGGUGGUGGAUGUGAGCGAGGAUGACCCAGAUGUCCAUGUCAGCUGGUUUGUGGACAACAUAGAAGUACACACAGCUUGGACGCAGCCCCGUGAAGCUCAGUCCAACAGUACCUUCCGAGUGGUCAGUGCCCUCCCCAUUCAGCACCAGGACUGGAUGAGGGGCAAGGAGUUCAAAUGCAAGGUCAACAACAAAGCCCUCCCAGCCCCCAUCGAGAGAACCAUCUCAAAACCCAAAGGAAGAGCCCGGACACCUCAAGUAUACGCUAUGCCUCCACCUCGUGAACAAAUGUCUAAGAAGAAGGUUAGUCUGACCUGCAUGGUCACCAACUUCUUCCCUGAAGCCAUCAGCGUGGAGUGGGAAAAGAACGGAGAGCUGGAGCAGGAUUUCAAGAACACCCCACCCAUCCUGGACUCCGAUGGGACCUACUUCCUCUACAGCAAGCUCACUGUGGAUGCAGACAGUUGGUUGCACGGAGAAAUUUUUACCUGCUCUGUGGUGCACGAGGCUCUUCAUAACCACCACACACAGAAGAACCUGUCUCGCUCCCCUGGUAAAUGAACACAGCACCUAGUCAGACCUCAGGUCUUAGAAGACACUGAUACCAGCCCUAACCUGUGACCCUAUAAAUAAAGCACCCCGAGAUGGGACCCUGUGAGAUUAUCUUGGUUCUUUACAUGGCACA